AAUCAACGCUGGCGGCGUGCCUAACACAUGCAAGUCGAACGCGAAAGUCCCGCAAGGGAUGAGUAGAGUGGCAAACGGGUGAGUAACACGUGGGUGACCUGCCUUCGAGUGGGGGAUAACGUCCCGAAAGGGACGCUAAUACCGCAUAACAUCCUGCCUUUUAAGAGGUGGAGAUCAAAGCUGGGGAUCGCAAGACCUAGCGCUGGAAGAGGGGCCCGCGUCCGAUUAGCUAGNGGUGAGGUAACGGCUCACCAAGGCAACGAUCGGUAGCCGGCCUGAGAGGGCGGACGGCCACACUGGGACUGAGACACGGCCCAGACUCCUACGGGAGGCAGCAGUAGGGAAUUGUUCGCAAUGGGCGCAAGCCUGACGACGCAACGCCGCGUGGAGGAUGAAGAUUUCGGA
rnacentral:rRNA from 1 species